rnacentral:rRNA from 1 species
AUUGAACGCUGGCGGCAUGCCUAACACAUGCAAGUCGAACGGGGCAGCAAUGCCUAGUGGCGGACGGGUGAGGAAUACGUAGGAAUCUGCCCUUAAGUGGGGGAUAACCAGGGGAAACCCUGACUAAUACCGCAUGAUCUCUUCGGAGCAAAGAGGGGGACCGCAAGGCCUCUCGCUUCUGGAUGAGCCUACGUCUGAUUAGCUAGUUGGUAGGGUAAAGGCCUACCAAGGCGAUGAUCAGUAACUGGUCUGAGAGGAUGAUCAGUCACACCGGAACUGAGACACGGUCCGGACUCCUACGGGAGGCAGCAGUGGGGAAUAUUGGACAAUGGGCGCAAGCCUGAUCCAGCAAUGCCGCGUGCAGGAAGAAGGCCUUCGGGUUGUAAACUGCUUUUGUACGGAACGAAACGGUCUGGGUUAAUACCCUGGGCUAAUGACGGUACCGUAAGAAUAAGCACCGGCUAACUACGUGCCAGCCGCCGCAGUAACAC